UUCGUUUACUGUGACGAUAAAAAGCUCCCUCUUCUGAAGAACAUUGAGGACGUUUGCCGGCAGAAUCGAACCAAUUACUUAAUUUGCCACCACUGAGUAA